UACGGGGGGGGCAAGCGUUGUUCGGAAUUACUGGGCGUAAAGGGCGCGUAGGCGGUGCUCUAAGUCGGAUGUGAAAACUCUGGGCUCAACCCAGAGCCUGCAUCCGAAACUGGAGUGCUAGAGUUCUGGAGGGGGUAGCGGAAUUCCUGGUGUAGCGGUGAAAUGCGUAGAUAUCGGGAGGAACACCAGUGGCGAAGGCGGCCUCCUGGAUCGAUACUGACGCUGAGGCGCGAAAGCGUGGGGAGCAAACAGG
rnacentral:rRNA from 1 species